UGGGGAAUAUUGCACAAUGGGCGCAAGCCUGAUGCAGCCAUGCCGCGUGUAUGAAGAAGGCCCUAGGGUUGUAAAGUACUUUCAGUCGGGAGGAAGGCGUUGAUGCUAAUAUCAUCAGCGAUUGACGUUACCGACAGAAGAAGCACCGGCUAACUCCGUG
rnacentral:rRNA from 1 species